GGGGAGGCGACGCUAGGGAAUAAGUAAUUAGGCUUGUCCCUUUAUUCGUCUUCCUGU
rnacentral:pre_miRNA from 1 species